ensembl:miRNA
ACUCAGAAGACAGAGUGCCACUUACUGCAAGGUGUUUUCUCUCAGUAAGUGGCACUCUGUCUUCUGAGUU